UCGUCGAUCAUUUUUGUGAAUUAGCAAUUUUAAGAAUGAAAUAAUUGCAUAGUCACAAAAGUGAUGGAGGG
rnacentral:pre_miRNA from 1 species